CUGGAACAUGGUGGGCUCAGUGAAAGAGGACCCGCUCCCUCCGUAGUUAUAAAGUGCUUAUUUCCAGACAGUAACUAAUUGUGCUGUGGCUGCUCUUGGUCGAGUCUUUUGAUCUUCUUAGUGGAACUAACGAACCUUUUACCUGAACACCUGACUCAGAGUUCAACAUCUGCUCUGGUUUCAAUCUGACAGGUCAGUUCAUGUUUUCAGGUAUUUACACUGUAAACUGAAACAUCUGUAAACACAAGGUGAUUUUUUUCCAGUGUCUUACAACUGCCCUAAACUUAUCCUUCCCAACAUUUUGGUAGAGACAUUAUCAGUUCUCCAGAGUGUUGAUCACUGAAUUUUAUAGCAAAAUAUUUAAUAUAUUGUCUUUUAAAAAAAGAGAAGGUGUUAUGGUUCUGUCCCAGUGUGGCUCUAUUUCUCUCCACCAGUCCACCAGAUGCCCUCAGGCUUUUCUGCCUGUUUAAGACUUGACUGAGUGGGAGGAAGGACAGAUAAAAGAGGUUGCAGAUUAUAUUUAAGGGCCACUUGAGAUACUGUUGCUCGCUACAUUGAAUCUCGUAGGAACUAAACACUAAAGCGAACUGAAACACUAGUUACGUUAUUCAGAGCUGCAGUUGUCUUUGAGUUCAAUUCAUGUCGUUACAUGCAGCCUUAAUAUGACGACCACUCCGCUUGGCAGGCUGAUUUAUUCAUGUUUUUGUCAACAGCAGUGUAUGCUGCUAAGUUUAUUCUGCUGUGUGCUCAUUGUGCACUUAAUUAAGUUGUGUUCAUGUGAGUGCUGGGACAGUUUCUGCAUGGUUAUAUUGUGUUUUCUGGGGUUUUUUGGUUUUCUGUUUCCCUUCUGUGAUCCUGUGCUCCACACCUGUCCUGCAUCAGUCUCGAUAGCCCUGCCCUGCUCCCCGUGUCUUCCCCAGCCAAUCAGC